rnacentral:rRNA from 1 species
GGGGAAUCUUGCACAAUGGGCGAAAGCCUGAUGCAGCAACGCCGCGUGAGUGAAGAAGGUCUUUGGAUUGUAAAGCUCUUUCGGCUGGGAAGAAGGGGUUGUCGAUUAAUACUCGGUGACUUUGACGGUACCAGAAGAAGAAGCACCUGCUAACUACGUGCCAGCAGCAGCGGUAAUACGUAGGGUGCAAGCGUUGUUCGGAGUGACUGGGCGUAAAGGGCGCGUAGGUGGGCCUUUAAGUCAGAUGUGAAAUCCCUGGGCUCAACCUGGGAACUGCAUUUGAAACUAAAGGUCUUGAAUGCCUGAGAGGUUAGUGGAAUUCCAGGUGUAGGAGUGAAAUCCGUAGAUAUCUGGAGGAACACCGGAGGCGAAGGCGGCUAACUGGUGGUGCAUUGACACUGAAGCGCGAAAGCGUGGGGAGCAAAC